rnacentral:rRNA from 1 species
AGAGCGAACGCUGGCGGCAGGCCUAACACAUGCAAGUCGAGCGCCCGUAGCAAUACGGGAGCGGCAGACGGGAUAGUAACACGUGGGAACGCGCCCUUCGGUUCGGAAUAACUCAGGGAAACUUGAGCUAAUACCGGAUACGCCCUUACGGGGAAAGAUUUAUUGCCGAAGGAACGGCCCGCGUCCGAUUAGCUAGUUGGUGAGGUAAAGGCUCACCAAGGCGACGAUCAGUAGCUGGUCUGAGAGGAUGAUCAGCCACACUGGGACUGAGACACGGCCCAGACUCCUACGGGAGGCAGCAGUAGGGAAUCUUGCGCAAUGGGCGAAAGCCUGACGCAGCCAUGCCGCGUGAAUGAUGAAGGUCUUAGGAUUGUAAAAUUCUUUCAGCGGGACGAUAAUGACGGUACCCGCAGAAGAAGCCCGGCUAACUUCGUGCCAGCAGCCGC